UACGAAGGGGGCUAGCGUUGCUCGGAAUCACUGGGCGUAAAGGGUGCGUAGGCGGGUCUUUUAAGUCAGGGGUGAAAUCCUGGAGCUCAACUCCAGAACUGCCUUCGAUACUGGAAAGCUCGAGUCCGGGAGAGGUGAGUGGAACUGCGAGUGUAGAGGUGAAAUUCGUAGAUAUUCGCAAGAACACCAGUGGCGAAGGCGGCUCACUGGCCCGGUACUGACGCUGAGGUGCGAAAGCG
rnacentral:rRNA from 1 species